AAGUCAGCUCAUUUUGGAACAGUCUAAAUCCUGUAUCUGCCAAGAAAUACCGGUAUAGAAAACGACAUUUAAUUUUGUCAUUAUAGAAAUACAAAUAGGUUCGUGUUGAGGAAACAGAUUCAGACAGGAUACCAAAUACUGCUUCCAAAGCUCCUGGCUGUCAUGAGCACAAAUAUACUAGAGAUGGCACAGAGACAUGAAUCUGAAAGAAGUGCCCUGUAAAGGGAUCCAGUAAUGGAGGAAGGUUAGAUCCUGCUCAUCCAUUCACCUUAGGAGUGUCUGGCUCUGGUGGUCACUAAGAACCUAAACCAAAGUCCACUGAAGACAAUGAGGAUCAGGACUCAGCAGAACUGCUUCUUUGGAGUCCAAGGUGUUCAUUCUAAAACCCAGCAGGGCAAAAUUUUCACACAGCAAAACUCUGAUGCACAAUCAGCUGUUUCCCAAAUAGAUAAAAUGGACUCAAAUGUAACAUCUCAACCAUGCUCUCUGUAGAAUCAACUCAUUUCUCUCCUGUGGCUUAUUUUGCCUGUAAAAUUGACAAAUAAUAGAAAAUGCACCUCAAGGGGAUUUCAGCCCAAUGAAAGAGUAAAAACUACUUGAGGCAAAACUACUUUUAUU